AACGCGAAGAACCUUACCCAGACUUGACAUGUACCUGACAGCGGCAGAAAUGUCGCCUUCCGAAAGGACAGGUACACAGGUGCUGCAUGGCUGUCGUCAGCUCGUGCCGUGAGGUGUUGGGUUAAGUCCCGCAACGAGCGCAACCCUUAUCACUAGUUGCCAGCAUUUCGGAUGGGAACUCUAGUGAGACUGCCUGGGUUAACCAGGAGGAAGGUGAGGAUGACGUCAAGUCAGCAUGGCCCUUAUGUCUGGGGCCACACACGUGCUACAAUGGCCGGUACAGAAGGCAGCAAUACCGCAAGGUGGAGCAAAUCCCGAAAGCCGGUCCCAGUUCGGAUUGUAGUCUGCAACUCGACUACAUGAAGUUGGAAUUGCUAGUAAUGGCGCGUCAGCUACAGCGCCGUGAAUACGUUCCCGGGCUUGUACACACCGCGAGC
rnacentral:rRNA from 1 species